UUUUAACAGUGCUAGUCCCAUGUCCAGGAGGAUAAUCAAGUAAAAAGGCAGACAAAUAACUGAACAUGAACCUACAGGCACUGGUGAUCCCUUUGGGACUAGGAAGAAAUUGUCUGGUGUUGUAGUGUGAGUUAAAUGCAGAGUAUGAUGAUGCACAGUUAAACAUUCAUGAGUGGCUCUCGUCUUUACCAAAUCUAAUUACAGGUCUCAAGGGAAACACAUUUAAAGGGACACUGUAAAGUAGUUUAGCUUUAUAAAAUUUGCAUAGAUUUAAAGAUUUUUUUAAAAUGGCAUUUAAAAGGACGUAUGUGAUUGACUUAAGAUGUCCGACUUGAUUGCACACUAGCUAGCAGAUGCAAGAAAUGUAAACAUACAUUUUAUUAAAUCAAUAACCCAUUUCACAAAGUGCACUUCUCAGCUUGCUGAAGUGCUUUGUCAUUCAGAAAUUCAGAGAUCUACUGUAGGCCUUUCACUUGGAGGAGGGCCAAGGUGCUCGUGCAAAACUUUCAUCUGCAUUCAUCACAUUACACAGUUGGGAUCUGAUAGUACCGGGCCUGCCUGGGCAGUUGCCUAAAUCAGUGGGAGUUUUUUGCACAAUUUGCAGGAUUGAACUAUUUAGGGAAUAAAAUUAAAACAGAAAGAUCACUUAUUACCAAAAUGCAAUCUAGACAAUAUCAAUUAUAGGAGCGUUCUACAGUGUUCUUAUAUUUGGACUGAACUCAAAUCUGAUAGCAUAGAUUUUAGAAUGCAUGCACAGCAGGUUGUAUGUAUUCAUUGAUGAAAAUGAUACAACACAGGUAAAAAAUGAACGUAUUCCUUAACAAUAUCUGGACACUGUACUCUGCUCUGCUGCCCACUAGGUAAGUCACUCUAGGCCAGAUCUUCAGUAGGAGGAGGGCCUUAACUUCUCUCAAUACAUCAGUUUACUCAUCUGUAAAGAGGGAACAACAAAAUGUACUUGCCUCACUACUGCAGUGAGGAUUAAUUAGUUAAUGUUGUAAAGUACUUGUUAGACAGAAGUCCAAAAUAUUAUAAAUGAAAUUGAUCUAAGCUGGCAAAUAUCAUCCACACACUGGCCUUUAUCAACAAGAAUACAGGUCUUCCAAAAGUCAUAUGCUUCUGAAGAAAAAGAUAUAUAAAUAGUUUAUCUGAAGGCCUUUUCUUAUAAACAGGAUGCAUUUUUAGAAGAAGGUAAGCCUGUGUGAUAACCUGCUCUCAAGAGACUUGUAUCUUUAAUCAAAAAUACCAGGGGACAAUGCAUUCCUUGAGUUGUAUUAUUGUACAUAGAGUUCUCAGUUACUUUUUCUACAUUAGAACUUGUUUUUAGAAUUUUCCAACCAAAGUUAUUUUUUUCUCACUAAAAUAAGUUUUUGAACUGACCUUCAUCUUACAUGAGUCUGGGGGUUGUAUGUCAUACCGCUUCUUAAAUCUUUCCUGGACUGUCAUCGUCCCACCUCACAACACAUAUAAACUAUAAAAUUAUCCCCGACAGCAGGGGUUCUCAACCUUUUUAUUUCUGAGGCCCCCCAAUACGCUAUAAAAACUCCACAGCCCGCCUGUGCCACAAGAACUGGUUUUCUGCAUCUAAAAGCCAGGGCCGGCAUUAGGUGGUAGAAAGCAGGGCAAUUGCCUGGGAACCUAAUGCCGCAAGGCCUCCCGCAUAGCUAAAUUGCUCAGGCUUUCGCUUUAGCCCCGGGUGGCAGAGCUCAGGGACCCAGGCUAGGGUUGCCAACUUUCUAAUCCCACAAAACCAACACCCUAGCCCAGCUCCUGCCCUGAGGCCAUGCCCCCGACUCACUACAUUCUCCCUCCCUUGGUGGCUCGCUCUCCCCCACCCUCACUCACUUUCACUUGGCUGGGGCAGGGGGUUUCAAAGGAGUAUUGUCACUAAUAGCUAACAACAAGCAUCACGUGCUGUAUUUUUGCCCAGUGAUUUCUUUAUUUGUUAAAAACAUUAACUUUGUUCAGAUCUUAACUGAUUCUGCAAUAUUUUUUUAAAAGUUGGCCCACAUAUAUAAGUAGCUUCCAAAAACACUUGAAUUUUAUCCAGUUGAUAUUCACAGUUUGUGGUGCUAAGAUUUAGCUGUUUAUUACAAUUUGGAAAAAUCUAAUUUUUGUUUCUUUUUUCCAGUUGGAUGGCAGAAGUGAUGGACUGAAUCUGAGCAUAAAUCUAUUAUGGUAAAUUUCAGUUCACAGCAGGAAGAUUCUAUGGAAAUGAAGAAAAGGAUAAAGAGAUGGAGGAAGUAGUCUUGAGAAAGCAAGAGAGUUUGCAGAAUGAACCCAGAUUGCGGCCUUGUUUAGACUAGUCAAGAUGCCAGAUUUUAUGCAAGAUUUGAGCCCUUUAGUAAUGAGGGUCAGACUUUAGUAAUUCCAUUUACCGUAAAACAUAAACAGAAGAUUGACUGUGCUGGCGGAUAUAUUAAACAGAUUCCUGCAAAACUUAACCAAGAGGAUAUGCAUGGAGAGUCUAAUUAUUACAUCAUGUUUGAACACUAAUACAAAUUGCUUGGAUAAUUGAAGCUUUAUGAUAUCAUUUAUGUUGGAUAUAUGUGGAUCUGGAACAAAGAAGGUGCAAGUUAUCUUUAAUUACAAAAGACAAGAACCACUUCAUCAACAAAGAUAUCAGAUGCAAGGACAAACCAUUACGUAAAGGAUAGAUUGUACUUUUGGGCACAGCCCUGGAUGUGGAGCAGAGUAUACCUGCAUUGCCUCAGGAGGAGCACCAUGAAGGCAUUGUACCUGAGAGACACCCAUCUGAGACAGUUCCUCCAGAGCAGCCUUUUUUCCCCACUGUGGAGCGAGUAUGCUGAGUGAGCCCUUUACAAGACAAAGUACACUCCCUAUAGAGCCAUUCUGGCCCAAGUCAGCUGACCCAGGCUCAUAGAGCUUGGGCUGCAGGGCUAAACAUUAGUGUAGAUGUUCGGGCUCAGGUUGGAACCUGGCCUCUGAAACCUCUGGGAAUCAAAGCCCAGGCACCAGACUCCGAACAUCUACACUGCUAUUUUUAGUCCUACAGCCUGAGUCCCACAAGCCUGAAUCAAUUAACCCAGGCUCUGAGACUUGGUGCCGCAGGUUUUUUAUUGCAGUGUUGAUGUACCCUAAGUCCACCUUUGCACCCCUUUCCCCUCCUAAGCCGCACGGGGUGCAAAAAGCCAGACAUCAGAAACUGACCAAUAGUGCUGUCAAAUGCACAAGGUAAACACUCUGAAAAAACAAAAAAAUAUUUUCUCUAAUCUUUCUUUUAUAAUAAUCUUAGGGUUUACUUGUAACUUAACAGGUACAAAAAUUUUCAGACAGAAGUGUAAUUUUUAAGUUGACAUUGUUCCCUUAAAGGUCCAGUUUCUGUCUUCAGUUUCACCUGUGCAACCCCACUGAAGUCUUGUUUGAGUUCAGAAACUUAAUCUAGUGCAGGGGUAGGCAACCUAUGGCACGCGUGCCGAAGGUGGCACACAAGCUGAUUUUCAGUGGCACUCACACUGCCUGGGACCUGGCCACCGGUCCAGGGGGC